AUGCGCUUGCCCACCGAAAGCCUCAAACUGAGGCUCCUCCUUCUCCACGGCAGGCGUUUCAGUACGCUCCUGGCGGAUUUCUUGGCCGCCAGUCACCUCCUGGCCCGCAGCGAUUUCCAGCGCCUUGAGCUUCAUGAGGUUGAUCAUGUUGAGCAGGCCGCUGUUCCGGGAGGGCGAGAGGCUCUGCCUGAUCCCGAGCAUCUCGAUGAACUCGACGGGCACCAUGGCGACGUCCCUGGCGGGCGCGCCGGAGAGGCCGAGCACGAGCAGCGCGGCGAGGCCCUUGGUGAGCUGCGCGUCGGAGUCGGCCUGGAAGCUGACGCAGCCGGGGGCCUCCGCCUCCGGCGCGGCGUGGACCCAGACCUGGGAGACGCAGCCCCGGACGCGGUUGGCGUCGGACUUGAGCGCCGGGUCCAUGGGCGGCAGGCGGGCGGCGUAGGCGAGGAGCUGCUUGUAGCGGGUGCGCUCGUCGGGCACGGACUGGAAGAGCGCGAUGAUGUCCCUGAGCGCCGGGGGGAGCUGCGCCGGGUCGACGGGGGCGGGGGCGGAGGAGGAGGUGGAGGGGGUCGGGGAGGCGGCGGACCUGGCGGCGAGGCGCUGGAAGGAGACGGGGCGGGAGAGGGUGAGGAGGUGGGGCCUGGACAGGAGCGGCCUGGAGAGGGGCGAGGAGGAGAGGAGGCGGAGCGGGGCGGAGGUGGCGGCCGCGGACGCCAUGGGUGGCGGCGGAGGAGGGGUGGCGAUUGGGGAAUCAGAGGUCGGGUUGGGUUUCUUCUCUUGCCCCGCGGCCGGAAAUUGGAGAGGCCAAUAGCUUUUCUUUCUCUCUUUGAUUUGAUUUUGUUCUUCUCCUGGAGAUGGAAGAAAAGGUCUAGGCCAUGGAAUCAAUCGACGUGGCUGUUCACGAAUGUGCGCGUGCGCAUGGAGACAGGCCCUUCAUGUUUUUUUUCUUUUUUUAGAAAUUGUUCAUUCAAAUCACGAAUCAGUACAGAGUAG
rnacentral:rRNA from 1 species